CAGCCUCGGCAAGGCUUUCAAUUGUCAUAGCAGAAUCUUGCCAUCAAGUAAUGAAGUGUUUGUGGAUUUUUCUUCUCUUUUUAUCAAUGGACUUUUUAUAUACCAAAGUAUGCACCUGAUCUAGUUUGUACAUGUUUUUGAUGCAAACUUCAAU